GUGGCUGUAGCUUAAUGGUUAAAGCGUCUCGCUGUGAACGAGAAGACCGGGGGUUCAAAUCCCCCCAGCCACCCA
rnacentral:tRNA from 1 species